rnacentral:rRNA from 1 species
GACGAACGCUGGCGGCGUGCUUAACACAUGCGAGUCGAACGGAAGGGCCCUGCUUUUGUGGGGUGCUCGAGGGGCGAACGGGUGAGUAACACGUGAGUAACCUGCCCUUGACUUUGGGAUAACUUCAGGAAACUGGGGCUAAUACCGGAUAGGAGCUCCUGCUGCAUGGUGGGGGUUGGAAAGUUUCGGCGGUUGGGGAUGGACUCGCGGCUUAUCAGCUUGCUGGUGGGGGAGUUGCUUACCAAGGCUUUGACGGGUAGCCGGCCUGAGAGGGUGACCGGCCACCAUGGGACUGAGGUACGGCCCAGACUCCUACGGGGGGCAGCGGUGGGGAAUAUUGCACAAUGGGCGCAAGCCUGAUGCAGCAACGCCGCGUGCGGAAUGACGGCCUUCGGGUUGUAAACCGCUUUCGCCUGUGACGAAGCGUGAGUGACGGUAAUGGGUAAAGAAGCACCGGCUAACUACGUG